AACGAACGCUGGCGGCAGGCCUAACACAUGCAAGUCGAGCGAGGACUUCGGUCCUAGCGGCGGACGGGGGAGUAACGCCUGGGAACGUGCCCUUUGCUUCGGAAUAGCCCUGGGAAACUGGGAGUAAUACCGGAUGAGCCCUUAGGGGGUAAGAUGUCUCGGCGAAGGAUCGGCCCGCGUUGGAUUAGGUGGUUGGUGGGGUAAUGGCCUACCAUGCCGACGAUCCCUAGCUGGUGUGGUAGGAUGACCAUCCACGCUGGGACUGAGACACGGCCCAGACUCCUACGCGAGGGAGCGGUGGGGAAUCUUAGGCAAUGGGGGAAACUCUGAUCUAGCCAUGUCGCGUGAGAGAUGAAGGCCUUAGGGUUGUAAAGCUCUUUGAGCUGGGAAGAUAAUGACGGUACCAGCAGAAGAAGCCCCGGCUAACUCCGUG
rnacentral:rRNA from 1 species